rnacentral:rRNA from 1 species
UACGUAGGUGGCAAGCGUUUUCCGGAAUUAUUGGGCGUAAAGCGCGCGCAGGCGGUUAUGUAAGUCUGAUGUUAAAGCCCGGGGCUCAACCUCGGUUCGCAUUGGAAACUGCGUAACUUGAGUGCAGAAGAGGAAAGUGGUAUUCCACGUGUAGCGGUGAAAUGCGUAGAUAUGUGGAGGAACACCAGUGGCGAAGGCGACUUUCUGGUCUGUAACUGACGCUGAGGCGCGAAAGCGUGGGAAGCAAACAGG